UCACAUCACCCCACUUAGUGGUUUAAAGCAUUUUUGUUCGCUAUAAUCACCAUCCCCAAUUCAACCCUGUCUGUGUCUAGGGCUUGAGCUCCAUUCAAAAAAUGGCAGCUGUUUACAGCUUCUACAUCAUCAACAAAUCAGGAGGCCUCAUCUUCUAUAAGGAUUACGGCUCUGCGGGACGAAUGGAUACGAAUGAUAGCUUGAGAUUGGCGAGUUUAUGGCAUUCAAUGCACGCUAUCUCUCAACAGCUAUCGCCUAUCAUGGGAUGUUCAGGGAUCGAGCUUCUCGAAGCUGACAAUUUCGAUCUCCAUUGCUUCCAAUCUCUUACUG